rnacentral:rRNA from 1 species
AACGAACGCUGGCGGCAGGCUUAACACAUGCCAGUCGAGCGCAUCCUUCGGGGUGAGCGGCCGACGGGUGAGUAACGCGUGGGAAUCUACCUUUUGCUACGGAAUAGCUCCGGGAAACUGGAAUUAAUACCGUAUGUGCCCUUAGGGGGAAAGAUUUAUCGGCAAGAGAUGAGCCCGCGUUGGAUUAGCUAGUUGGUGGGGUAAAGGCCUACCAAGGCGACGAUCCAUAGCUGGUCUGAGAGGAUGAUCAGCCACAUUGGGACUGAGACACGGCCCAAACUCCUACGGGAGGCAGCAGUGGGGAAUAUUGGACAAUGGGCGCAAGCCUGAUCCAGCCAUGCCGCGUGAGUGAUGAAGGCCUUAGGGUUGUAAAGCUCUUUCACCGGAGAAGAUAAUGACGGUAUCCGGAGAAGAAGCCCCGGCUAACUUCGUG